AUGCACUGCCUGUCACUCAGUAGGUUCUCAGGAAAUAGGACUGUACCAACCAAGUGACAUGGCAGGCUGACACCACACCUCUUUAAUCCAACCUUGUACUGAAUUUUUGGGAGGAGACAGGACUUGGGGGCUGGAGUGGAAUCACAGGCAAGCAGGAUCCUAAAGAUACUUCAUAAUUUAAAGGUUGGAGACAAGAGGCCAGGAUUUGGCGCAACACUGCUGUUCAGAAUUUCUUGACUUGGACUGUUUCUCUGGACCAGUCUUUUUACCUAACUUGACAAUGAAAGGGUGGCUCAAAGAUGACACAAUAGAGGUAUUUGGAGAUUCUUUUGUCUUCCCUUGACUCUCAAUAAAAACAACAAAGAAAUGAAAGAAUGUGAGUUAAAGACUUCAGUGAAACUAAGGAGUCUCCAAAGACCAAUCUUACAACUGCCAAACAUGAUGAUGCCUGGGCUAAGGAGAAGAAGUAACCUUAUACCUUGACCUUGAACAGAAUGACAGUCAUUCAAAGAGCAAAGAGGAUGUCUGAGGCAGCUCAUCCCCUGCCCAAUGGAAGCUGGAUUUUGCUUAUUGGAAGAUGAAAAUGGCUGGAUUGCCUGGAAGAAGUCUUUCUGUGUUGGCCAUGUGUUGAACUUCUUAUAUAAAGUGAUCAAAGCCUGAGACAAAAGAGCAUUCUAGGUUCACAUAGGAGAGAAAAUCCAAAAGACAAAGAAGAGAGUUCAUUACAUAGUGGGCUAGGAAAAAAUGACUGCAGAGAAUGAAAGAGAAAGGAAGAGCUAGGGAGAAAGAAGAGAGAGGAAAGGCUAUGGAGGAACCAAAAAAAGGGAAGGAAGAGUAUGGAGAAAUCAAAAGAAGAGAAGAAAUUUGAGAAAAGAGCAAAUGACAGAAAGAGAAUCUUUAUCUUGCUAUUAACACCUUGAGUCCCAUGCUGACCUUGACUCUAUGUAUGUACAGGUAAUCAAUUUCCAGACCCAAUUGUUUGAAGUACAUUGAAUCUAUGAAUUCUUCUUUAACUCUUUCUCUUUUAACUUCAUUACUUAUUCUAUUUGCUUAUUGGAAGAUGAAAAUGGCUGGAUUGCACUAUUCUAAGUGUUUUAAUAAGCAAUGAUGAGAGUUCUGAGAUUUUUUCAUUCUAGCAUGUGUGUCUGUAUGUGAGUGCAUGUGUACCAUUAUCAGCAGCAGCAGCAGCAUCAAAAACAUGAUCACUAUCAUGAUGUCAUCAUUAUAACUGCAUAACCACCUUUUAUGCAUUCCUCAUUUGAGAGUGGAAAAUUAUUUUUAUAAACUUAUCACAUUGUAUGCUUCCAAUAUUCCUGAUGAGGCAGAGAUUACUGUCUCCAUUCUGAAGGUAGAAGAACUAAGGCUCACCAAAGGUAAAUGACAUACUAUAGGCCACAUAAUUAAUAAAUGAAAGACCUGAGAUCAGAACUCAUCCUGACGCUCUUCUCAUUGUGUGGAUGGGAGAUCAGUGUUGCUGACAUACACUGAAAAGGGCUAACACAUUAUACUGCUAAGAGAUGAUAGUGCAUGUUGGUUGAGAGUAGACCUGCAUUCAAACAACCAUCACUUCUUAGCUGUUUGACUUGGGCAAUGACCCAGCCUCCCUGAGUCUCUGUUUCCUCAUAUAUAACUAAGGAGUUAUUUUAGCAUCAACAUCACUGGAUUUCUGGAAGUAUUAAAUAAGGUAAUGCAUGGAAAGUGCUAGCCCAUAUGCCUGAUACAGAAUAGGCACUCAAUAAAUGUCAGCUCUUCUUAUUGUAGACUCUGCCAUUCUGCUGGACAAUGGGAUGUGGCAAAGAGGGCAGCUCAGGGCACACACAUGUUGGUGUCCUCAAGCACACCAUUGAUUGAAGAUUCAUUUGCCUGCCACUCACCCUACUGAGCACCCAUCCAGGGAUCUAAGAGAAGCCAUUACUUAUUCUGGCCAGGGGGAGUUAGCUGCCACUUGACUUGACAUUGUGUAAUGGGACUUGACCCAUGCUAGUUGCAACUCCUUGAUGUCAUGUACUCUUGAAGAUCUUUUCUUUCCUGAGGACCUGAGAUUUAGCAGCCCAUGAGAAAUGACCCAAAUGUAUUGUGCAUGUUUUUGUGCCAUGUAAAAACAUGUUGGGGAUGGAACUGAUCGAGGAGAAAGGAAAAAAAAAAGCAAUGUGAGUGGAAACUAUGAGAUCAUAGGAUCUUGGCUUUGCAAAUCAAUUUAUUAACCCUGUCUCUUGAGCAAUCCUAGCCUUUGUGAAACUGGCCUUGAUGGAACCUUGAUAUGAUGUUGAAAUGGACCAGGGACUUGAGGUCUAACAGAUUAGGAUUUAUAUAUAAAUAGAAUUUAAUUUGUAGAAUUACCCUGCGGGGUAUCUGCUAUUACCUGUUUUAUAAAUGAGAAAACCAAGGCUUGCACUCUUUUGGGAUGGUUUGAACUCAGUUCUUUCCCUUCUUUCUUUCCCAAGGUGGUCAUAUCCAGUCACCUGUCAGACUUAUCACCUAUAUAGUGAAAAGGUCAAAGUCUAUCCUACCUGUCUUCUCCUUUGGACACUGGGUUCAUGUAUCUAAAUGCCUACUUGAGAUUUCUAUGUAGAUGUCUAGUAACCAUUUCUAACCUAUUAUUUCCAAACAGAACCCAUGAAUCCCUUUCCUGGCACCCUCAGCAAUGUUCUGUUCACCCAAUCUCCAUAUUUUAUUGAUUGAUACCAUCAUGUGUCCAGUUCCUUAGGCCAGAACCUAGGGAUACUCCUAGAUUUCACAAAUUCCCUAUCCCCUACAUCAACUCUUGAAGUAUGAUAGUUACAGUAAAAAGUGAUGCUUGUUACGUCUGCCUUGAACAUUUUUUUCUAAAUCUUACUGCUUUGGUCCAAAUAAACCAAAACCAUUCUAUUCUAUUCUAUGCUCCAUUCUCACCAACCUUAGGCACUGUAAUACCUUCCUAAUUGGUUUCCCACCUUCCUGCAUCCAUCUAUAAUCCAUUCUCUACACAAUUAUCAAGUAGAAAACAAGUUCUUUCUCUGAUCUGCUUACCAUCCUCAAAUGGCUUCUUUGACACUGAAAGCAAAAUCCAAGCUCCUUACACUGAGACUACAAGAUCCUUCCUGAUCUGCUUACUGAAUAUGUUCUGGAUUUCAGUUCCUACCACUCUCUUCCAGGCACACUGUGAUCCAGUCAAAUGGGUUUUCUUUGUUUCUCAAACACCCCAAGUUUUUAUCAUGUUCAGGGCUUUGUAUUAGCUUUUCCCUCCAUCUGGCUCCUCUGGCCUUGGAUUCUCAUUGUGGGCUCCUUCAUACAGUUCCUUCUCACUUCAAACAUCGCUUUUUCAGGGCCAAUCUUGGUCACCAAUCUGAGCGGCUCUUCCAAGCAGAAUGUAAAUUCCAGAAGAGCAAGGAUAGUGCCUUUUCCUGUUCAAUGUCAUGUCUACAUUGCUGAGCAUGUGGUCUGAUAUGGACUAAGUGCUCAAUAAAUAUUGAUUGAAUGAAUGAAUGACUGCCAUUAUAAAGCUUCUGUGGUUCAUUCAGUUGGGUAUUAAUGGGGAGGGGAGUCAAAUGAAUGUAUAUAUAUGUGACCCUAAAUAG